rnacentral:rRNA from 1 species
AUUGAACGCUGGCGGCAUGCCUUACACAUGCAAGUCGAACGGCAGCGGGCCUUCGGGUGCCGGCGAGUGGCGAACGGGUGAGCAAUGCAUCGGAACGUGCCAUUGAGUGGGGGAUAACGUAGCGAAAGUUGCGCUAAUACCGCAUAUUCUGUGAGCAGGAAAGCAGGGGACCGCAAGGCCUUGCGCUCUUUGAGCGGCCGAUGUCAGAUUAGCUAGUUGGUGAGGUAAAGGCUUACCAAGGCGACGAUCUGUAGCGGGUCUGAGAGGAUGAUCCGCCACACUGGAACUGAGACACGGUCCAGACUCCUACGGGAGGCAGCAGUGGGGAAUUUUGGACAAUGGGGGCAACCCUGAUCCAGCCAUGCCGCGUGAGUGAAGAAGGCCUCGG